GAGAGUUUUAGUGUUAGACAGAAUUCAUGCCCAAAUCUUAGCACAGAAUGAAUUGGUCAAGUGGUCUGUGUGGAUGCUGUGACGAUUGUUCUAUUUGUUGCGCUACAACUUUCCUACCAUGCGUUACGUUUGGACAGGUGGCUGCGCAUGUAGAGGGGGCAGAUUCGUGCUGUUGUAUACAAGGUUGCCUGUAUGUGGUGUUUUGCAUGUCUGUACACAUGCGGAUACAGGAAGAAACUGAGGAAGAAACAUAAUCUGGCGGAGGAACCAUGUGGAGACUGUUGUGUACAUUUAUGGUGCGAUUGCUGUGCACUCACUCAAGAAGCCAGAGAGAUCAAGGAUAAAAAAUCAGAGAAAAUGGCUUCUCCUUCUGUGGUUGUCAUGGUGGGCAAAUAAGAAUCUUUGGUUGGGA